UUGUUUACUGGUGCGGCAACAUCAAGAUUCACAUGGUUGCCCUAUUGCAAGUGUUUAGGGAAUGAGAAUCUUGAUGAUGCUGCAUCAGAAAUCAA
rfam:Helianthus annuus linkage group 8, whole genome shotgun sequence.